AAUGAACGCUGGCGGCAGGCCUAACACAUGCAAGUCGAACGGAUCCUUCGGGAUUAGUGGCGGACGGGUGAGUAACGCGUGGGAACAUACCCAAAGGUACGGAAUAGCCUCGGGAAACUGGGGGUAAUACCGUAUGUGCUCGAAAGAGGACAGAUUUAUUGCCGUUGGAUUGGCCCGCGUUGGAUUAGGUAGUUGGUGGGGUAAUGGCCUACCAAGCCGACGAUCCAUAGCUGGUUUGAGAGGAUGAUCAGCCACACUGGGACUGAGACACGGCCCAGACUCCUACGGGAGGCAGCAGUGGGGAAUCUUAGACAAUGGGGGAAACCCUGAUCUAGCCAUGCCGCGUGAUCGAUGAAGGCCUUAGGGUUGUAAAGAUCUUUCAGGUGGGAAGAUAAUGACUGUACCACCAGAAGAAGCCCCGGCUAACUCCGUGCCAGCCGCCGCCGUAA
rnacentral:rRNA from 1 species